UUUUUUUUUCCUUUUGCACAGAAUGUCCGUGCUAACUGGAAAUAUAUUUAGCUCAAGGGGGAUUUGCGUGCCUUCCCCUAAGCACACACCGUGUCCCAGGCACUGUUCCAUGUGUGCCGUACAUACGGACUCAUUUCAUCGUUACCACGAACCUACAAGACAAGGCCAAUACUGCUGUCAUCCCUGCUCACAGAUGUGGAACCAGACCCAGGAAAGUGGGGGAGGAGAAAAGAAUAUCACUUCCUGAAUUUAACUGAAGCAUUCCAUUCAAUCACCUCUUCAUGUUGCCCAGAAGUCUCAAGGCCUGAAAAAGAAAUCAUUCGGAAUUGAGUCUGUGGCGUAGAGUUCAAUUUAACUCCACCCAUAAGCAAAGUACUCUGCAAAGUGCUUUGAAAAAAAAAGAAAGGGAACGUGGCGUUGGUCUGUGUCUCGGUGUUUUGCUUUUCCACCUUCUGUGUUUCUAUUACAUAACUCCAGCCCCAUUCAGAGCAAGGAUAAUGCUUCACAAUAGGCCUGGCGCCGUGACCAGCAGCACAUCUGCUGAGCGCUGGUGGCUGUUGACAAAUGCCACAGCUCCACUUGCACAUUUAAUGAUCCACAAAACCUUCGAUUGCUUCCUCUGCUCUGCCCAUGUGACCAUUAUGUAUGGGAAACAAGUUCCAGCAGGGGUUUGGAGGAGAGGAUUCUAUUUCUGUCUUAGACAGAAAGUUCAUUCUGCUUCCCCGGCAAACUUACUUACCUUCAAUUGUCCUUAUCAACAUGACGCUAAAAAGUUGCAGAAGUUGGUGCUUUUGCAAACAUUUCAAAAAUAAUAAUAAUAAGGUACUCCAGAGAUGCUAGGUAUUUAACUAUGAAGGAGGGUUAGUCCAGCUGAUUUGUUUAACCGGCACAUGUGUGUGAGGCCAUGUGAAGAUGGCUGAUCCCCGCCACCCCCAAGGAAUGUCCAGUCUAGUU